rnacentral:rRNA from 1 species
UACAGACAGUGCAAGCGUUAUUCAGAUUUAAUGGGCGUAAAGGGUAUGUAGGUGGUUCAUAAAUAAAAAAACUAUAUUAAAAAGACUAGAGUAAUAACUUUAGUAAUAUUAUAAAGAUUAACGAACUUGAGUAAAGAAGGAGUAGGAGGAAUUUUUCAUGUAAACAGUAGAAUGUAAUCAUAUGAAAAGGACUACCAGAGGCGAAGGCAUCUAUCUAUUAUUUACUGACGCUGAGGUACGAAAGCAUGGGGAGCAAAUCAG